rnacentral:lncRNA from 1 species
AUGUGCACCAGAGGCUGCGGGUGGCUUGGGACAGGUGGCCUGGAGCUGGCGGGCAGCAGGGCCCCACGCGGUCCAAGUCCUCAAGGCAUAUGGCCCGCGUCUAGCUUGCUCAGACAGCGGGAACUGAGGUGUGCCCGUCGGGCAGACACUGCCCCAAAUAGCUGGUGUAGCGACAGACUCACACCAGAGUGGCUUUUCCGACGGGGCUGCUUCCCCGGGGGGCGAGCAGGUGGGGUGGGGUCCAAGCUUCUGUGGGAUGCCCCGCGCUCCUUCCGGCAAGUGAUAACUUGCAUCUCGAUGUUUGGCACGGCCCAUUAUCCGGCAGCAGGAGCAACCCUGAGGACAGCUGGGGAGGUCCCUGUGUCCCCCGUGCUGGUGCGGGAACCUGGACAGCUGGCUGCCCCUCUUCCCUGGAAGGAAGCGUCCUCCCCAUCUGGGUCUGGCCAGCACCUUGUCCAGCCAUCCCUGGUUCCCAUCGGCCUGCUACGUGGUCUCAUCCAGGAAGCUGCCAGGGGCCCCCUGCCUGGCCGUUUGGAACCUGGCUGCCACCAUUCCCCCGGGGAGAGCGAGCCACUGAGCCACGGGGACGCCCAGAGAGGGUCUGGGCGCGGAGACCCGGGAGCCGAGGGCAGGCCAGGAGGAGAAGCCGAAACGUCCACGUGUAGGAGAAAACACGCGGCCCCAGCUUCAGUUCUGAUGGGCUUUCCAGGGUCCCGUCCGCCAUCGCCCCAGCUGCAGGCUUCCCCUGCACACGUCACGGCGCCCUCUGUCUCAGGCCUUGCCGCUCCUCUCUCCUCCAGCCUCACACCCCAUACUGCACCAGGGUGGCAUGUGGACGCUCAGGUCAGCGGGGUUUCCCGGGUCCUCCAGCCCAGCUCUGGCCGACCCCACGUCGCCUCUGCACUGACCCCGGUGCUUCCUAGCCCCCUGCACCUCUCCCCACCCCAUCCCAGGCCCAGAGACCCCCCUUGUUACAAAGCUCUCCCUGGGAACGACGGGGAUCCGCGUGCCACUGAUGUCCCUACGGUCCGAGCUCUGACCUCUGGACCGCAGAGGGAGGUCCAGUUCAAUGCCUUCCUCCAAGACAGACCUCUGGUCCUCACCCAGCUCGGGGCUGGCUUCUCACGGCGCCCGGCCCGGCCUGCGGUGUCAACAGGUGUGGCUGCUCGUACCCCGAGCUCUGUGCCACAGCUCGUAGGCUGGGCCUCCUCCAGCUUCACAGGACGGGAGACAGCUGCUCCCUGGGACCCACUGUGGGGCGGCACCCAUCCCACGUCUCCCCUCCUGGGCACCGGGCCACACUCCGGCGGCGGCCUGCCCUCCUGUUCUCAUCCCUCUGCCUCCUCGCCCUCGGCCUGUGAGCCUGUCUGCACUGUGCUGCCUCCUGCUCUCUGCCAGCAUCUGCCCCCCACCGUUCCCCUCCUGGAGGAUGCCAACCUCCCACCUCACGGUGUCAGCUUCCUCCUGUGCCCCCUGUCCACCGCCACACCCUUCCUCGUCAGCCUUAGAUGUUGUUCCAGGGCGAAUAACAUCCACCCCAAACCCGUGUCCGCCUGGAAUGUCAGCAUGUCACCGUAG